UACAAUUUUGUUUCUCUCUAUGCUCAAGCUGUUACCAGCAAAUUGCAACUCUAAUCUCACACUUGGCUUGGUUAGCAUGCACUUUGUAUUUCACCCCAAUUUUGUUGUUGUUUUUUAACCUUUCCUUACUCAGCUUUAGGCCAGAACGUCCAGAUUCAAAGUUUUGGCACUGUCUUUGAGAGUCCUAUUUUCCCAGGGGAAACACAGCAGGAAAAUGUAAGUUGCCUUACCUAACAAAUCCUUCCAGUCAUGUACAACCUCGGAAGGGCAAACCAGUCUUCAUCAACAUAUUUUUGCUGUCUGGUGAAGUAUAAAAAGCGUGAAGCAGAAAGGCAGAUUGGAACACCUGUGGCUAUUAUGAAAACCACGCCACUUCCCAGCCUUGCGUGUUUUCUGCUCAGAAGGUAUGCACCUGUCAGCCACAGCUGAAAACCCAGCAAUCGAGGGCCCAGAGCUAGGGCUCAGAUGAGUUGACUGAGGAAUUAGAAGGAUUUCAAAAUAAGCCUAUUAAUUCUGUUGGAUUGAAAUAUCUUCCAUCUUCACACAGCCAAAGAUAGCUGAACUUUUGUUUGACAUUUUACACAGUGUCUUAUGCCUGCCUGAAAGAAAGGGUGCAGGUCUUCACAGAAUGGGGAAAGUCCAGAGAUGAUCUGGACUCCAGAGACAAUAGCUUGGAUUCUGAGCUGUCACUUACCAGCCAAAAGGGAAUCCUGGCCCGGUCAUUGAAGUUCCCUGAGUCUCAACUACCUCAUCUGUAAAAGGGUCUCAUCAGGCCCACAUUAGAUUAUCUAUUCGACCAUCAGUUCGAGCUCUAAGGUAAAGAUGUAGAGCAACCGGAACUUUCAUACACUGCUGCAACCACUUUGGAGACUAUCAGCUUUUUCCACUAAAGCUGAACAUUAUAGUCUAGAAAUUGCACUCCUGAGCAGGAUGAGACAGCAUCCACACGAAAAUAAUCCUCUACAGACUCUCCAAGCAUGUCCGCUGUAGGCAGGAGUUAUCCUACAACCUUCCCAUCCUGGGAGGAGAGAUGUUUCCCUGUUGGGAAUUGAUGCCAAUGAUGUUCAAAGUGACCACAUUAAGAAGUAAAGCUCCAGGGAACCAGGAAAGAAAUAAAAACAAAAAAGAAAGCCACACACAGGUACUAUUUACUAGAUAAUAAAGACAAAUGUGUUCAUACCCUGUCAUCUCAGGCAUGAGUCACCCGGGUAACGCACUUAGAGAGCAGGCCCUGUUAGGAAACCCUGCCAAGUUUCUCACUCUCCUUUCUGGCCUCCAUUCUUAUCUUCCUGCUCUUUUUGAGGCUUCGGUGAGGGCUUUCAAUUCUUUCUGUGCUUCGUUAAGUAUCCCUCUUUGAGCCAGGACCACAGGUGUGUUGGUAGGUGAGGGAAGUAGAAAGCAGGAAGAUAAAUGCAAUCACAGGUUUCCCCGAGACUGAAUCAGGAGAGGCAAGAACACAUCUACUGCUCUGUUUUCCUUGCCUGUUUUCCUUUUGUGCCCUGACCAAAAUGACUCAUGCUGCUUUGCUCUGGGCAGGCCCUCAAGCCUGGCACCCUGUGGGCUACAUGGAUUCGGGCACGCAUUCUUCAUUUCUCCAAAGGAGUCAUUUUAGCUCGGUUGACUAACAAUGCAGACCCAACUAUACGAAACUUGCUAACAAAGGUCAGUACACCAAAGAAGAGGGAGUUACCAGCAAAAGAAGACCACAGUUAACAAAAGCUGCCAAGAGUUACAGAAUCUACGGCCUGUAUGGCAUCUGAGCUGUAGGUCACAUUCUCCAGCACUGAGGCUUGGAAUGCUUUGUUGGGGAGGAGAUUCUCUGGAUUAAUUAUUUUCAAAAGGUUACCUUGGGGGAAAACUGUGACCUUGCCCUCUAGAAAUAUUUCACCACAUCAGGAUUAUUAGGGCUGU